ACUCCUGACUGACCGAUAGUGAACCAGUACCGUGAGGGAAAGGCGAAAAGAACCCCGGCGAGGGGAGUGAAAAAGAACCUGAAACCGUGUACGUACAAGCAGUGGGAGCCUCUUUAUGGGGUGACUGCGUACCUUUUGUAUAAUGGGUCAGCGACUUAUAUUCUGUAGCAAGGUUAACCGAAUAGGGGAGCCGAAGGGAAACCGAGUCUUAACUGGGCGUUAAGUUGCAGGGUAUAGACCCGAAACCCGGUGAUCUAGCCAUGGGCAGGUUGAAGGUUGGGUAACACUAACUGGAGGACCGAACCGACUAAUGUUGAAAAAUUAGCGGAUGACUUGUGGCUGGGGGUGAAAGGCCAAUCAAACCGGGAGAUAGCUGGUUCUCCCCGAAAGCUAUUUAGGUAGCGCCUCGUGAAUUCAUCUCCGGGGGUAGAGCACUGUUUCGGCAAGGGGGUCAUCCCGACUUACCAACCCGAUGCAAACUGCGAAUACCGGAGAAUGUUAUCACGGGAGACACACGGCGGGUGCUAACGUCCGUCGUGAAGAGGGAAACAACCCAGACCGCCAGCUAAGGUCCCAAAGUCAUGGUUAAGUGGGAAACGAUGUGGGAAGGCCCAGACAGCCAGGAUGUUGGCUUAGAAGCAGCCAUCAUUUAAAGAAAGCGUAAUAGCUCACUGGUCGAGUCGGCCUGCGCGGAAGAUGUAACGGGGCUAAACCAUG
rnacentral:rRNA from 1 species